rnacentral:rRNA from 1 species
GACGUAGGGCGCGAGCGUUGUCCGGAAUUAUUGGGCGUAAAGAGCUCGUAGGCGGUUUGUCACGUCUGCUGUGAAAUCCCGAGGCUCAACCUCGGGCCUGCAGUGGGUACGGGCAGACUGGAGUGCGGUAGGGGAGAAUGGAAUUCCUGGUGUAGCGGUGAAAUGCGCAGAUAUCAGGAAGAACACCGAUGGCGAAGGCAGCUCUCUGGGACGGUACUGACGCUGAGACGCGAAAGCGUGGGGAGCAAACAGG